UACGGGGGGGGCAAGCGUUGUUCGGAAUUACUGGGCGUAAAGGGCUCGUAGGCGGCCAACUAAGUCAGACGUGAAAUCCCUCGGCUUAACCGGGGAACUGCGUCUGAUACUGGAUGGCUAGAGGUUGGGAGAGGGAUGCGGAAUUCCAGGUGUAGCGGUGAAAUGCGUAGAUAUCGUAAGGAAGACCAGUGGCGAAGGCGGGUCUCUGGACAGUUCCUGACGCUGAGACGCGAAAGCGUGGGGAGCAAACAGG
rnacentral:rRNA from 1 species